UUUCCCUCAGGAUAGCUGGCACUCGCUUGAGCGAGUCUCAUCUGGUAAAGCGAAUGAUUAGAGGCCUUGGGGCCGAAACGACCUCAACCUAUUCUCAAACUUUAAAUGGGUGAGAUCUCUGGCUUGCUUGAACGUUGAAGCCACGAGAUUAUAAAUUGGAUCAGAGUGCCAAGUGGGCCAAUUUUGGUAAGCAGAACUGGCGCUGUGGGA
rnacentral:rRNA from 1 species